GGGCCUGUAGUUCAACGGAUAGAACGGCGGUUUCCGGUACCGCAGAUCGGGGUUCGAUUCCCUGCGGGCCUA
rnacentral:tRNA from 1 species